rnacentral:tRNA from 1 species
CCCCCUGUAGCUCAACUGGCAGAGCGCACGGCUGUAGACCGUGAUGUUGCUGGUUCAACUCCGGCCGGGGGGA